UAAGGAAUAUUGCUCAAUGGGAGAAAUCCUGAAGCAGCAACGCCGCGUGGAGGAUGAAGGGUCUAUGACUUGUAAACUCCUGUAAAGAAGGAAAAAAUUCCCAUUAGAUGGGAGAUGAUGGUACUUCUGGAGUAAGCCCCGGCUAACUACGUGCCAGCAGCCGCGGUAAUACGUAGGGGGCAAGCGUUGUCCGGAUUUACUGGGUGUAAAGGGUGCUCAGGCGGAUUUGUAAGUCAGAGGUGAAAUCUUACAGCUUAACUGUGAAACUAACUUUGAUACUGCAAGCCUAGAGUAUGGAAGAGNGUGAUGGAAUAUCUGGUGUAGCAGUGAAAUGCGUAGAUAUCAGAUAGAACACCAAUGGCGAAGGCAGUCACUUGGUCCAUUACUGACGCUAAAGCACGAAAGCG
rnacentral:rRNA from 1 species